rnacentral:rRNA from 1 species
AACGAACGCUGGCGGCAUGCCUAACACAUGCAAGUCGAACGAGACCUUCGGGUCUAGUGGCGCACGGGUGCGUAACGCGUGGGAACCUGCCCUUAGGUUCGGAAUAACUCCCCGAAAGGGGUGCUAAUACCGGAUAAUGUCUUCGGACCAAAGAUUUAUCGCCUUUGGAUGGGCCCGCGUUGGAUUAGCUAGUUGGUAGGGUAAAAGCCUACCAAGGCGACGAUCCAUAGCUGGUCUGAGAGGAUGAUCAGCCACACUGGGACUGAGACACGGCCCAGACCCCUAGGGGGGGGAGGAGGGGGGAAAUUGGGAAAAGGGGGGAAAGCCUGAUCCCGCAUGGCCGGGGGAGUGAUGAAGGCCUUGGGGUUGAAAAGCUUUUUUACCCGGGAUGAUAAGGACAGGACCGGGAAAAAAAGCCCCGGCUAACCCCGU